UACGUAGGGCGCAAGCGUUGUCCGGAAUUAUUGGGCGUAAAGAGCGUGUAGGCGGCCAGGUAGGUCUGCUGUGAAAACUCGGGGCUCAACCUCGAGACGUCGGCGGAAACCAUCUGGCUAGAGUCCGGAAGAGGAGAGUGGAAUUCCUGGUGUAGCGGUGAAAUGCGCAGAUAUCAGGAAGAACACCCGUGGCGAAGGCGGCUCUCUGGGACGGUACUGACGCUGAGACGCGAAAGCGUGGGGAGCGAACAGG
rnacentral:rRNA from 1 species